rnacentral:rRNA from 1 species
UACGUAGGGUGCGAGCGUUAAUCGGAAUUACUGGGCGUAAAGGGCGCGUAGGCGGCGUGUCAAGUCAGGCGUGAAAUCCCUCGGCUCAACCGAGGAACGUCGAUCGAUACUGCUGUUCUUGAGGAUUGCAGAGGAGACUGGAAUUCCCGGUGUAGCGGUGAAAUGUGUAGAGAUCGGGAGGAACACCGGUGGCGAAGGCGGGUCUCUGGGCAAUUCCUGACGCUGAGGCGCGAAAGCGUGGGGAGCAAACGGG